AUCCCACCCCACCCCUUGACUCCCAGCCCAUGUCCAGUCAGGUGAGGUGCCAGAGUACCUCCUGAGCAGCACCACCGCCUUGCUGACAGUGACUGUGUGUCCCCUAGCAACCCUCGAUGAUGUUGUGGAGGCCGGCGGGAGUGAGAAGACUGAGGAGGAGGCCCUGGCUGGGGCAAAUGAGGAGGAGGUGGGGCCGGGAACUGAGAAGGUGCAGGAGGAGGCUGCCUGCAUUGACGAGGCAGAGGAGGAGGCAGGCCCAUCCCUUGAAAAUGACGAGGAGUCCCCAGCCAGCGACCUGGUUGAGCAGGAAGACCAGCUUGCCCCCAAGGUGGACGGGAUGGACGAUGAAAGCCUAUGUUUCAUGGAGAGUCUGAGUGACAGCAACCAUGAUGAAAGUGAUACAGACUCAGUGGUGGAGAGCAUGAGCAGCCGCCAGGAUGAGGAGGCUGCAGCAACCCUCGAUGAUGUUGUGGAGGCCGGCGGGAGUGAGAAGACGGAGGAAGAGGCCCUGGCUGGGGCAAAUGAGGAGGAGGUGGGGCCGGGAACUGAGAAGGUGCAGGAGGAGGCUGCCUGCAUUGACGAGGCAGAGGAGGAGGCAGGCCCAUCCCUUGAAAAUGACGAGGAGUCCCCAGCCAGCGACCUGGUUGAGCAGGAAGACCAGCUUGCCCCCAAGGUAAGCUCACCUUUCUUGAUCGGAGAUUUAAAAAGGUGCCUCCUUUCUUCUUGG
rnacentral:lncRNA from 1 species